UCCAGGCCCUACGGGGCGCAGCAGGCGCGCAAACUUUACAAUGCGAGCAAUCGUGAUAAGGAAACCCUGAGUGCCUGUCGAUGCAGGCUGUUCAUAUAUCUAAAUCAUAUGUGAAGAAAGGGCAGGGCAAGACCGGUGCCAGCAGCCGCGGUAAAAU
rnacentral:rRNA from 1 species